rnacentral:rRNA from 1 species
GACGAACGCUGGCGGCGUGCCUAAUACAUGCAAGUAGGACGCAGUUGCGAACGGGUGAGUAACGCGUAGGUAACUGCCUCUUAGAGGGGGAUAAAUAUUGGAAACGAUAGCUAAUACCGCAUACUCGUAGAUGGACCUGCGUUGUAUUAGCUAGUAGGUAGGGUAAUGGCCUACCUAGGGGACGAUACAUAGCCGCCCUUGGUGGGUUGGCUGCCACACUGGGACUGAGGCACGGCCCCGAAUCCUACGGGCGGCAGGAGUAGGGAAACUUCGGCAAUGGGGGGAAGCCUGACCGAGCAAAGCCGCGUGAGUGAAGAAGGUUUUCGGAUCGUGAAGCUCUGUUGUUAAGGAAGCGGUACUUAACCAGAAAGGGACGGCUAACUACGUGCCAGCCGCCGCGGUAAUAC